UACGUAGGGGGCGAGCGUUGUCCGAAUUUACUGGGCGUAAAGCGCGCGUAGGCGGACCUUUAAGUGGAGGGUGAAAUCUCAGGGCUCAACCCUGAAACUGCCUUCCAAACUGGAGGUCUUGAGGUAUGGAGAGGGAAGUGGAAUUCCUGGUGUAGCGGUGAAAUGCGUAGAUAUCAGGAGGAACACCCGUGGCGAAGGCGGCUUCCUGGCCAUAUCCUGACGCUGAGGUGCGAAAGCCAGGGGAGCGAACGGG
rnacentral:rRNA from 1 species